UACGUAGGGGGCAAGCGUUGUCCGGAUUUAUUGGGCGUAAAGCGCGUGUAGGCGGCCAGGUAGGUCCGUUGUGAAAACUCGAGGCUCAACCUCGAGCUGUCGGUGGAAACCACAUGGCUAGAGUCCGGAAGAGGAGAGUGGAAUUCCUGGUGUAGCGGUGAAAUGCGCAGAUAUCAGGAAGAACACCAACGGCGAAAGCACUCUGCUGGGCCGACACUGACACUGAGAGACGAAAGCUAGGGGAGCGAAUGGG
rnacentral:rRNA from 1 species